rnacentral:rRNA from 1 species
UACGAAGGGGCUAGCGUUGUUCGGAAUACUGGGCGUAAAGCGCACGUAGGCGGUGGUCUUUGUCAGAGGUGAAAGCCCGGGGCUCAACUCCGGAAUUGCCUUUGAAACGGGACCGCUUGAGUCCGAGAGAGGGUGGCGGAAUUCCUAGUGUAGAGGUGAAAUUCGUAGAUAUUAGGAAGAACACCAGUGGCGAAGGCGGCCACCUGGCUCGGUACUGACGCUCAGGUGCGAAAGCGUGGGGAGCAAACAGG